rnacentral:rRNA from 1 species
AUAAUGGGUCAGCGACUUAUAUUCUGUAGCAAGGUUAACCGAAUAGGGGAGCCGGAGGGAAACCGAGUCUUAACCGGGCGUUAAGUUGCAGGGUAUAGACCCGAAACCCGGUGAUCUAGCCAUGGGCAGGUUGAAGGUUGGGUAACACUAACUGGAGGACCGAACCGACUAAUGUUGAAAAAUUAGCGGAUGACCUGUGGCUGGGGGUGAAAGGCCAAUCAAACCGGGAGAUAGCUGGUUCUCCCCGAAAGCUAUUUAGGUAGCGCCUCGUGAAUUCAUCUCCGGGGGUAGAGCACUGUUUCGGCUAGGGGGCCAUCCCGGCUUACCAACCCGAUGCAAACUGCGAAUACCGGAGAAUGUUAUCACGGGAGACACACGGCGGGUGCUAACGUCCGUCGUGAAGAGGGAAACAACCCAGACCGCCAGCUAAGGUCCCAAAGUCAUGGUUAAGUGGGAAACGAUGUGGGAAGGCCCAGACAGCCAGGAUGUUGGCUUAGAAGCAGCCAUCAUUUAAAGAAAGCGUAAUAGCUCACUGGUCGAGUCGGCCUGCGCGGAAGAUGUAACGGGGCUAAACCAUGCACCGAAGCUGCGGCAGCGAACGUAUCACUUAAAGCGAUUCAGCGGGUUACGAUUGACGGAGCGAAGCGACGUCAAAGCGUAUACAAAGUCGAGUCGGUUUAAGGAUACGUUCGUUGGGUAGGGGAGCGUUCUGUAAGCCUGUGAAGGUGUGUCGUGAGGCAUGCUGGAGGUAUCAGAAGUGCGAAUGCUGACAUAAGUAACGAUAAAGCGGGUGAAAAGCCCGCUCGCCGGAAGACCAAGGGUUCCUGUCCAACGUUAAUCGGGGCAGGGUGAGUCGACCCCUAAGGCGAGGCCGAAAGGCGUAGUCGAUGGGAAACGGGUUAAUAUUCCCGUACUUGGUGUUACUGCGAAGGGGGGACGGAGAAGGCUAUGUUGGCCGGGCGACGGUUGUCCCGGUUUAAGCGUGUAGGUGUGUGUUCCAGGUAAAUCCGGUUCACUUUAACACUGAGGCGUGACGACGAGGCACUACGGUGCUGAAGCAACAAAUGCCCUGCUUCCAGGAAAAGCCUCUAAGCAUCAGGUAACAUCAAAUCGUACCCCAAACCGACACAGGUGGUCAGGUAGAGAAUACCAAGGCGCUUGAGAGAACUCGGGUGAAGGAACUAGGCAAAAUGGUGCCGUAACUUCGGGAGAAGGCACGCUGACACGUAGGUGAAGUGAUUUACUCAUGGAGCUGAAGUCAGUCGAAGAUACCAGCUGGCUGCAACUGUUUAUUAAAAACACAGCACUGUGCAAACACGAAAGUGGACGUAUACGGUGUGACGCCUGCCCGGUGCCGGAAGGUUAAUUGAUGGGGUCAGCGCAAGCGAAGCUCCUGAUCGAAGCCCCGGUAAACGGCGGCCGUAACUAUAACGGUCCUAAGGUAGCGAAAUUCCUUGUCGGGUAAGUUCCGACCUGCACGAAUGGCGUAAUGAUGGCCAGGCUGUCUCCACCCGAGACUCAGUGAAAUUGAACUCGCUGUGAAGAUGCAGUGUACCCGCGGCAAGACGGAAAGACCCCGUGAACCUUUACUAUAGCUUGACACUGAACAUUGAGCCUUGAUGUGUAG